AAUUCUGCCUUCCUUGACGAUAUCUUCUUGGUCCUCACUACCAUCACUGUGGUCUUUAGUCUCUGCCUAUUUGCCUGGAGUUGAAGUACAGUCAGUUGAUCACGCUUACCAAAGUGUGCCCAUGGGCUGACACGGUAACCAUUGUUGAUGGUGGUAUAACAGUGGUUAAGUGUUGGCUCCUCUGUUUCCACAGGUGAUAUGUUAGUGGAUAUUGUUCAGAGACUUCCUCGAGAUGUCCUGGUUUGAAUCCAGGUGUGCUAUUUCAUGUUUACUGACCAUGGUGCUCAGCUCUUCCAGUGACUACACAAUGCUGACCUGAGGUGGCUGCCCCCACAUCAUGCCAGGAUCUGCUGUACACUAAUGGACUGAAAUUGUUUACAGUCAUUCAUCAACAACUCCAUUAUCACUGUGUCACGUAUCAGCAGACUGAAUCCAGCAGCAUUUAAUCAUGAGCAGUGUUCUGCAGUGAUCUUUGUUGGCCCUGCAACUAUUCACUGAUAUUACUAAUGAUGUGGAUGAUGGGACACAAAACCAUGUCUAUUAGUGUCCAGCAAAUGAAAAACAGUCUCCACAGAAAAUAGAAUGGCAGAGAGGUUUAAAGUGUAGAGAUGGAAAUAGAUGAAGUGAACAGGACAACUGUAACAAAGCGAGAUCAUUGACUGCAGCAGACAGGUUACAGAGAUGAAAGGAGAGAUUUUUCAUGGGAGAUCUGAAAGUCAGCAUCAGAAUUUUCAAUCUGGAGGAAUCUCAGGCUCAGUCUGAACAGAUAUGAGGCAGCUCUUUGAUUCAGGUCACUGUCACAAAUGGAUCUACAGACUCUCACAUGCGCCGAGAAGGAAGAUUGCAGGAAAUGUUGUCUCUGAUGAGAAACUGCAUCUCUCAUUGCAAUUCACAGCUCCAAUAGCAUAUUUCAUUGGCAUUCCAGCAGCUAACUGUCACGUAGCUGGCCAACUGUCCUGCAGUCCCUGUUGUGACCUGAAAAGGUCCCGAGGAAAUAAGCUCCUUGAUGUUUGAUUUUGUUUUCUCAGUCAAAGGUUGUAAGCAGAGAUGAGCAACCCACUCUGCAAACAAACCUGAUUUCAUUCCAAUGUACAAUUCUGUACAAAUUGAGCUUCAGGAUAAGUCUGAGCUGAAGUUGUCAAGCCAGCUGACAGCAGAUAUUGUCCAGUUUGUAAAUUUUCUAUUUCUCAUCUACAGAGUUGUCUGUCUUUAUCCAAAAUCCCUCCAUUGAAGAGAUGUGGAUCAACCAGACCGCUACUCUGGUGUGUAUGAUUAUGGGUGCUGAUCUGAGCCAGGUCCAAAUCGACUGGCAGGUGAAUGAGGGGGAGAAAAUCAAAGCAAACAUGACCAAAAAACUGAGAGAGGAAAGAACCCGAGGCACAGUGAUCAGCCAACUCCAGCUCAGUGUGGAGGAGUGGGCCAGUGGGGUGGAGUACACUUGCUCUGCCCAACAACCUUCUUCAACCUCACCAGUAUCAGCACGGACAAAAAGUACCAAAGUUCCAGUGGAGACAAAAGGUCCCAAAGUCAGACUGCUGCCACCACCAGAGGGAGAGACCAAGAGUGGGAACACGGUCACCCUCGAGUGUGUUGCCUCUGGAUUCUACCCAAACCAAAUAACCAUCAUCUGGGAGAAAGGGGACUCUCUGAUCUCUUCCAACAUCAGUGUGAGACCAGCUGCUCUGGAACAGGCGGGGACUUUCAUUGUCAGCUACAUCCUGACCGUGCGCACAGAGGAGUGGAAGGACGGCUCAGUUUUCAGAUGCACAGUGUCUCAUCCCCCCUCCAACACCAGCGUCAGGCAGGAUGUGAAAAACAUUCAAGAAAUCUGCACAGACUUGACAGGAGAGGAGGGGAAGGAAGAACAGGGACACGUGGAUGGAGAUGACAAUGUGCCUACAGUUGCUGCCUUUGCCAUUCUGUUCAUCAUCAGUUUCCUCUACAGCACCUUUGUCACUGUUGUCAAGGUUCAGCAGUGACCAGCAGAUACACGCCCCACAUUCAGACAAGAAAUCCCCAUGUGGCUGCGAUGUUUGGAAAUGGAAUCUCCAUCUCACUCACUCAACAAUCCGAGGCUACUGCACUGCAGCUGCUCAUUUCAGAAUAUAAACCUCUAGAUGCACCAGGGAUGCCAGAUGGAAAAUGGGGGCACGGAGCCGGUUAGGUGGCCAGAGGGACAGCAGUGGAUGAUACAUUGGGAAAAUGGCAGGAUAUGUGACACUGGAGGUGGUAUACAAGAGAGGAGAGGAAGGCAGCAUUAAGCCUUGUGAAUGGGGAACAGGGGUUGGGAGUUUUGUUAGAGAAGGAGAAGAGGGAGGUGAGGAAAUGGAUUUUAUUGUUAAGGAGCAAGAAAUUGAUGUGGGGGGUUGAUUGUGGUGGAGGGUGGGCUCAGUGUCUUCUUCUGUCAUAUUUUGUAAAUCAGACGUUAUGGAAAUCAUUGCCUGUACCAUUUCUUUCAUUAUUCCACUGGAGUUUAUUUCAUGAUUUGAAAAUGUAUAUAUUAAAAACAAAGAAAAUGAGACAAUGAAGUGUCUGGAGUUGAUAAAAAUGAGGAAAGCCAUUCAUCCCAUCUUAGUUCCCUCAUCACUGCAGUGACUUCACCUGCCUACAAGUACAACAAGUGGGUUUUGCAUCCCGUAAGACCAUAAGACAAAGGAGCAGAAGUCGGCCAUUUGGCCCAUCGAGUCUGCUCCGCCAUUUCAUCAUGAGCUGAUCCAAUCUCCCCUUUAGUCCCAUUCCCCUGCCUUCUCACCAUAACCUUUGAUGUCCUGACUACUCAGAUACCACCCGCGGCAACAAAUUCCACAGAUUCACCACCCUCUGGCUAUUUUUUUCUUUUUUUUGCAUCUCCAUUCUGAAUGGAUGCUCUGCAAUCCUCAAGUCACGUCCUCUCGUAAUAGACUCCCCCACCAUGGGGAACAACUUUGCCACAUCCACUCUGUCCAUGUCUUUCAACAUUCGAAAUGUUUCUAUGAGGUCCCCCAUCAUUCUUCUAAACUCCAAGGAGUACAGUCCAAGAGCGGUCAAACGUUCCUCAUUUGUUAACCCGCUCAUUCCCGGAAUCAUUCUAGUGAAUCUUCUCUGUAACCUCUCCAACGUCAGCACAUCCUUUCUUAAAUAAGGAGCCCAAAACUGCACACAGUAUUCCAAGUGAGGUCUUACCAGUGCCUUAUAGAGGCUCAACAUCACAUCCCUGCUCCUAUACUCUAUUCCUUGAGAAACGAAUGGCAACAUUGCAUUCGCCUUCUUCACCACCGACUCAACCUGGAGGUUAACCUUAAGGGUAUCCUGCAUGAGAACUCCCAUGUCCCGUUGCAUUUCAGAACUUUGAAUUCUCUCCCCAUUUAAAUCAUAGUCUGCCCGUUUAUUUUUUCUACCAAAGUGCAUGACCGUACACAUUCCGACAUUGUAAUUCAUUAGCUACCUCUUUGCCCAUUCCCCCAAUCUAUCCAAGGCUCUCUGCAGACUCUCUAUUUCCUCAGCACUACUGGCCCCUCCACCUAUCUUUGUAUCAUCAGCAAGCUUAGCCACAAAGCCAUCUAUUCCAUCAUCCAAAUGGUUGAUAUACAACGUAAAAAGAAGUGGCCCCAACACAGACCCCUGCGGAACACCACUGGUAACCGGCAGCCAACCAGAAAGUGAUCCUUGCAUUCCCACUCCCUGUUUCCUGCCAAUCAACCACCAGUCUAUCCACGUAUGUAACUUUCCUGUAAUUCCAUGGGCUCUUGUUUGGCAGCCUCAUGUGCGGCACCUUGUCAAAAGCCUUCUGAAAAUCCAAACACACAACAUCCAGUACAUCUCCCUUGUCUAGCUUACUUGUACUUUCCUCAAAAAAUUGCACUAGGUUUGUCAGGCAGGAUUUUCCUUUAAGGAAACCAUGCUGAGUUCUGCCAAUCUUGACAUAUGGCUCCAGCUACUCCGUAACCUCAUCUUUGACAAUCGACUCCAACAACGUCCCAACCACCGAUGUCAAGCUAACAAGUCUAUAAUUUCCUUUUUGCU